rnacentral:rRNA from 1 species
AUUGAACGCUGGCGGCAGGCUUAACACAUGCAAGUCGAGCGGAUGAAAGUAGCUUGCUACUGGAUUCAGCGGCGGACGGGUGAGUAAUGCUUAGGAAUCUGCCUAUUAGUGGGGGACAACAGUUGGAAACGACUGCUAAUACCGCAUACGCCCUACGGGGGAAAGCAGGGGAUCUUCGGACCUUGUGCUAAUAGAUGAGCCUAAGUCGGAUUAGCUAGUUGGUGGGGUAAAGGCCUACCAAGGCGACGAUCUGUAGCGGGUCUGAGAGGAUGAUCCGCCACACUGGGACUGAGACACGGCCCAGACUCCUACGGGAGGCAGCAGUGGGGAAUAUUGGACAAUGGGCGAAAGCCUGAUCCAGCCAUGCCGCGUGUGUGAAGAAGGCCUUUUGGUUGUAAAGCACUUUAAGUGGGGAGGAGGCUACCUAGAUUAAUACUCUAGGAUAGUGGACGUUACCCACAGAAUAAGCACCGGCUAACUCUGUGCCAGCCGCCGCCGUAACAC